AAGGAUCAUUAAAAAAAUACAUACUUAUCACACGUUUACGUAUAUAACUAACUAACCCCAAACUUAAUUAUGUCAACAAGCUAAAAAAUCAAAACUUUCAACAACGGAUCUCUUGGUUCUCGCAUCGAUGAAGAACGCAGCGAAAUGCGAUACGUAAUAUGAAUUGCAGAUUUUCGUGAAUCAUCGAAUCUUUGAACGCACAUUGCACCUUGUGGUAUUCCACAAGGUAUGCCUGUUUGAGCGUCAUUUCUCCCUCAAGCCCCCGGGUUUGGCGAUGAGUGGCACUUCAAUUCACGCGGUCCACUUGAAAUACAUUCCAUAACGACUAGUGUUCUAAUACAAACUAUUUCGCUAGUCGCGCGAAUCUAUUAAAAGAUCGACCUCAAAUCAGGUAGGACUACCCGCUGAACUUAAGCAUAUCAAAAGCCGGAGGAACCCGGAU
rnacentral:misc_RNA from 1 species